rnacentral:lncRNA from 1 species
GCCAAGGUACGUGUCCUCUCCAGCAAGCCCCAGAUGCCAAAGUUUCCAUUGGAAAACCUGCACGUGUCAGGGACCACCAAACAAUUCUUGCAAACCCAGACCCUCUGCGGCCAGGGUCGGGUGAUGGGGAGGAGCUGCGAGGAUUAGUUGCCGUUGAAGGGGGCUCCGCCAAUGAAAUCUUCUCUGCGCUCUGAUUUGGCGGUUCUUCGGUGCAAAUAUGACAGCUUUCUCUCUCAGCUCUUUUCUGCAUCUCUCCAUGUCCGACCCCGGAGCCCAGUUCUCGGUCUGCAAUUUCUACACCACAACCUUUGCAAUCACCACCACCACCACCCCUAGGUCCCAUGUCAGCAGGUGCCAGGUUGCUACAAAGGUGACAGGGCACAUUGGGAAGAAGGCUUGUUGAUUGCAGAAGAUACUUAUGCCCCGUGUUUCCAGGUCGAUGCCUGUGUGUUCCAUCAGUUAAUGGGGAGUAGUAGUUAAGAGAGUGUACUAGUGAGGUGUUGGUGAGGUGGGAUUUUGCUGUCUAUCGAGGAAAAUAAAAGAUGUGAACUUCCUGUGUUCAGAGCAUGGACUAA